rnacentral:lncRNA from 1 species
AGGGGAUUCCGGCUUCCGGCCCGGACUGGAGCUGCCUGGCGUCGGUGCCCGCGCCCGGCCCAGCCCGGGGCCCGCCCUCCCCUCUUCCUGGGCAGUGGCCCCGCCUGCGUUUCCAGGCUUCCUCUUGAUAAUAGCGAGUAGCCCUGGAGUGGUGUCAGCCCGCCAGGCUGAGCGCUCUGCGUAUUCAGGCGUUGAAGUUGGGGAGAAGAAGUGGGUGACUGUGGGUGACACGUCCCUGAGGAUAUUUAAGUGGGUUCCUGUGACAGACAGCAAGGAGACGAAAACAGCAACCAGAGUUCCGUGUCUGACGUCUAUCAGCUUAAGGUGGACAGCAGCACCAACUCAAGCCCCAGCCCCCAGCAGAGUGAGUCCCUGAGCCCAGCACACACCUCCGACUUCCGCACGGAUGACUCCCAGCCCCCAACGCUGGGCCAGGAGAUCCUGGAGGAGCCCUCCCUGCCCUCCUCGGAAGUUGCUGAUGAACCUCCUACCCUCACCAAGGAAGAACCAGUUCCACUAGAGACACAGGUCGUUGAGGAAGAGGAAGACUCAGGUGCCCCGCCCCUGAAGCGCUUCUGUGUGGACCAACCCACAGUGCCGCAGACGGCGUCAGAAAGCUAGCACCAUCCCGGCCCUCCGCCUCCUGGCCCUGC